GCCGCCAGUGGCUGUGCGAGGAGCAGACGGGCGCCGCCGAGCCGGCCUCCUCCUGCCGCCUGCAGCAGACGGACGUCUCGUGCGCCGGCCUGAUCCGCGUGCCGCCCAACCACGGCGAGAAGGGCGACGCCGCGCUGCGACACGCGAUGCUGCACGGCUACGUGCUGUCGGGCCGCGGCGUGCUGCUGCUGAACGGCUCCAGUCUGGACAUCCAGCCCGAGUCGGCCUUCGUCGUGCCGCCCGGCUCCAUGUACCGCAUCGCCAACUUCAGCCCGGUGGAGAUGGUGAUCAGCGUCGUCACGGUGUACCAGCGGCGGCUGCAGCCGGCCGGCUUCUUCUGCCGGCCGCUCGGCUGCUGAGCGCUCUUGCCUACGGUCGCCGCCGCGCUGCCCCUCGAGGUCAGGCGCGUGCCCUGCGGCGCGUGGCGAGCGGUGGACGAGAGGCCUCGCGGUGACGUGCGGACGGAGCGCGGCGCCGAGAGUGAAGCAGUGCGCGGUUGGCGACCGCGUCGGGGCGGCGAGGCGU